rnacentral:lncRNA from 1 species
GGAAAUUUCCUUGGAGGUGCUUGGCAAACUAAGGCCUUAUCCGCCACCAUUAAUUCUUGAUUCCCCCGUAGAGAGAACACCUCCUACUGCAAUCUCUGGACCGGGAAUAACAGCGGCUGCAUGUUUCGAUUAAACUAAGAACCUGUCCUGCCCUGGGCCUCUUCCUUACUCUGUCUCUUGUUCUGCGCUGUGCCCAUAGCUGGUGCAUAAUGAGGGCACAUGGGUUAAUGAGCCACUCUCAUUGUUGACCCCCCUCGUCUGUGUGGCACCCUGCUUUUCCUUACGUUGCCUCUGCAGUUCAGUUUCACUCAGCCUUCAACUAUCACAGUUAGAUCUGCUCCCUGCUCAGACAUGCCCAAACCCUUUAAUCUCAGGAUCCUUUCUCCGUUCCAUCAGGAGCAGAUGUGACUGCUGGUUGCAAGCUGUCAGGGAACCGUGCAGCCUGGCAUGAAGCUUGCGGCCCCAGGAUGAAGCCCCUGCCGUUCCUCUGUCUCUGCGCUUCCGUCCUGGGCAGACUCCGUGCAGCACUUGCCCUUCUCAGUCCGGUUCCUGGUGUCCACAGGGUCCCUUUGUGGGUCCACCUUUAUCUCUUCCAGGGGACGGCAGAUCCUAUGCUUUCCUCAAGUGCACAGUCACUGCCGUCCUGUCUCAGUUCAUCUCCAGUGCUAAAGGCACGAUGAAUUUUAAAAUGCUUCUCCUGUCCAUCGCAUCCUCCUGCCUCCCACCAGUGUUCCAGUGCCGCUGGCACCUGCCAAGGUACUGCCAGUGACCGAAGCAGUGGAGCAAGGGUUUUAAGGCAUCGGAGCUGCUGCUCUGCACUGCCGUGUGCUGUGUCCCCUGCCUUCCCAUCUAAGUCACCAAGCGGGUGCAUGCCUCCGUGCAGAGGGACGCUGAACCGCUGGCGGCUCCCGCACAGGUCGUGUCUCAGUUCUGUGCCUGUGUCCCAUGGACCGCUCUGCCUGAAUGCCUUUCCCGCCCUCGGGGAGCCGCACGGCAAGCACAGGCAUUUACCUAGAGGGCAGGGAGAGACAGCCCUAAAGGCUCUGCAGGGCCUGGUGCUGGUGGCUGUGGCUCUCUCCGUUCCUGGGUGCUGUGCCAUGUGGUGGCACAAAGGGCCAGGGGCUAUGAGGAUGACCAGGAAUGCUGUCAGGACUUCCUUUCUCACGUACCCUCAAUGCACGGCGCCUGAGCAAGCAUCUGCUCAGUGGAACACAAAAGACACGAUCUGUCCCAGGACUUUUCCCGUCCCACCUCCCUCGACGCCGCCGCCGCGCUGGAUUCCUCUCUGGCUGAGAGACUCUGCCUCUGUACGGUCUCAUUUAAAAUGCAAAUGCCUGGGCGGUCCCUUUGUGGCUCAGCAGUUAAGGACCACGACGUUCGUUGCCUCUGUGAGGAUGAGGGCUGAAUCCCUGGGCUGUCUCAGGGGGUUAAGCAUCUGGCGUGGCUGAAAGCUGUGGUGCAGGCCCCAGGCGUGGCUUGGUCCAGGUUGCCAUGGGUGUGGCGUAGGCUGCAUCUGCAGCUCCAAUUUGACCCCUGGCCCAGGAACUUCCAUAUGCCGCAGGUGUGGCCAUAAGACAACAAAACAAAGAAAAAAAAA